GACGAACGCUGGCGGCGUGCUUAACACAUGCGAGUCGAACGGAAAGGCCUUUUCGGAGGUACUCGAGUGGCGAACGGGUGAGUAACACGUGGGUGAUCUGCCCUGCACUCUGGGAUAAGCCUGGGGAACUGGGUCUAAUACCGGAUAGGACCGCACUUUAGUGUGUGUGGUGGAAAGUUUUUUCGGUGUAGGAUGAGCCCGCGGCCUAUCAGCUUGUUGGUGGGGUAAUGGCCUACCAAGGCGGCGACGGGUAGCCGGACUGAGAGGUUGGUCGGCCACAUUGGGACUGAGGUACGGCCCAGACUCCGACGGGAGGCAGCAGUGGGGAAUAUUGCACAAUGGGCGCAAGCCUGAUGCAGCGACGCCGCGUGGGGGAUGACGGCCUUCGGGUUGUAAACUCCGUUCGCCAGGGACGAAGCGUUUUGUGACGGUACCUGGAGAAGAAGCACCGGCUAACUACGUG
rnacentral:rRNA from 1 species